CAUCUAUAUAUGUGAAUGAAUCAAUGCUCAUGUAAAGUUAUUUGGUGACAUAUCUUCAAGCCUAAAAGUAUAUUUUAUUGGAUUUUCUUUUGAUGAGGUUCGUGGGUCUGUUUGUGUGUGCUCUCCUCUCCAUUUUCUCUACAGAACUAGGGGUGGGCUUGAGUCUGUAUUUCCCCCCUCCCCCAUCACCACACAAUGCAGAGAGCCAAACCACUAUCAGUGCUUUUGUCCAUACUCCCCCAUUAAAGUGAGAGGGCACAGAGAGGGGGAGAGGAGGAGGAGGGUGAAAAGAAGAGAGAGCUGAUGUUAAGUGUUAUCCUGAGGCGGCGUUGGUGGAAUUUUUCGAUGGGGUCCAGGCUUCCACACUGUAUAGCAGGGUAGGAAUGAUCGCACACACACACGCACACAAACUGUGGUGGAAAACUGUCCUAUACCCCCCUCCUUCUUAAUCACAUACGCGCAUGAAACUGAACAGGCAAAGAGCCUGGGUCUGUAUCAAACACAUGUAGAGCAGAAUAAGUCAAAGAGCAGUAAUUGGAUAGAGAUGUUUCGGAUGUUACUGAGACAGAAUCCUGGAAGUUUUCAGUACUGCAGUGACAGUGAGAGUGAGAGGGGAGGGAGGGAGAGGGAAUAGACAGAGCGAGGC
rnacentral:lncRNA from 1 species